CCGAGUACCAUCGCCAGUACACCAUCGACCAUCGCACCAGACGCGAGUCCUACCUGCGCGUCGCGCGUGCUCAUUCGGCGCGCAGGUAGGACGAUCACACAAUCUUAUCAACGCACGUCCAGAAUUACGAACGAAAACAGAAAGAACAAUCAAAAAUUGCCAACGUAAAUAAGUGAGUGCAAAAUUUCACCACAAAACAUUUUGGACUGUCUGAGAUGUCGACAAUGCAGAAAAUCAGAUUUUUGUCAAAAUCAACAAGUGCCGAAGAAAGAAGCGUAGGCGUGAUGCUUCAACCCAUCGCAAGGUAAGAAGUCUACAUCCAAGAACCCAAGAAGAAACAGCUCCGGGAGUGUAACAAAAUGUUACAGUUUUUGUUCGUGGUUAUACUCCAUGUGCCAUAUUAGUUCGUAGUUAUUUUAUGAUAGAUUUAAUUUACUUGAUAAGUUCGGGCGAUGUGCAUUCAUCAUCAAAUCUUAUCUUUAUCAUAAGAUAUGUCAUUAAAUGUCAGAAAUAUUUACAUUUACAUUACUCUGCGAACAUCUUGAGAAGUCUUUGAAAUCAAGACGGUAAAACCAACAAUUAUAACAUGGAACAUGUAUUGAGUACUCUUACUCUUCCACUCAUCAGUUCUACUCGUCAUGUGAGUGAAAAAGUUAACAAGUCGUUUUCAAGUAGCCGCUUUUAGUCUGAAACUCUUAUAAACCUCAAACAUCUAGUUCGCUUAUCGCGAUCGGAAUAAUGCCCGUCGGAUGAUGAUUGACAGCAAUCGGAUCGCUAUCGUCAUAAUUUUAAAUUUUAAUUAGCCGCCGUCUACAAUUUCACAGACAUUCCCCGACAUUUAUAAAGCGGUGGCUACAGACUAAAUACAAAACUAAUGUUAAUGUAACAGAUAUUAAUUAGGUUCGAGUACGAAACGAAGGGUAGCAGAAAAAUACGCGAAUGUCAUCAUCAAAUGUCGCAGACACGGAGAUGACAUGGCUGAUAAGCUUUAAAUAUUUGUAAGUUUUACGUUUUUUAAUGAUUGGAUAAUUUUCCGCUCGGAAACUUUUCAUUAAAUUUAUAUAUUGUAUUGUAAUAAAAAUUCAUUUGCAAUGUCGUACUGUA